GCAACCCGAUGAGCAGAUCCAGGUUGAAUCCUACAUUUGUCCACAGCAGCAGCGGCACCAACAACAUUCACACGGUGGCUAAACUACAGCAAGCCAAAAAAGAAAACGAGCAGUUCCGAGAGUGAUGACCAUAUCAUUCGCAACUACGACAACCAACAAAAAUAUGCUCUCAGGGGUACAGGUGCUGCCGCUGCUGAGAAGACAGCAAAGGGGCCAAUUUCAGCGGCUGUGGUAUAGGUGCUGGCGUCAUUGGAACACAGGACGAGGACACCAAGUUGUCCGAAGUUUAGUUGCAAGUGGCAACUAAACUUCGAAAAGGUGUCGCCUUCAUUGUUUCCACAUCUACUCCCGUCCAUCAUUUUAACGUUGAGAAAUACGACUUUUGAAGGUAUCAUCCAUGUGUAAAUCUCUUCGUGGAACAGCAAGGUUACCCCUGUCAACCAGACCGUUCGAAAUCAAAAACUGAACUUUGGACCGCAGCAUCCAGCUGCUCACGGUGUGCUUCGAUUGGUGCUGUAGCUGAGGGGUAAACGCGGUGAACCAAAAUACUCAUCGAGUGCGGAACGGACAUUCCGUACUUCAGUCAUCUGGAUUCCGUAUCGAUGAUAUACAAUGAGCAAUGCUCCUCGUUGAUCGUUGAACACCGAUAUCCCGUUGCCGGCCAAGCAUAUUCUUGUAGUCAUUGGGAUGACCCCCCAUUUUGAGCCACAUCAUGUUCGUUGCAAUAGUUUCCUGGAUUUUCGAGGAACGCGAGAGGAAAUUUCGUUAAACGGUAUCGCAGAAUAUGUCGUGGGAUUUACUCGAUGAUACCUAUGCAUCCAAAUUUUUACACGUUUGGUUGAAGAUGUGCUGCAACAGCAACAAACUGAUUUGGGUUCAAUUUAAUUCUAGUAUCAAAGUUGUAUGUUGAUUAAAAAAGUUAUAAUAAAAAUAUUCUGUUAUUUAUUUUUAUCGAAAAAAUUCAAAUUUCAUAUUUUUAAAGAAGAAAAAUCGAGCCUGAACAAAUCAGUGAAUUGAAAUUUUACAGUCCUGUAAUUUUCAAACGGCCUGUAAUUUUCAAAUCACUGAAAAAUAAAGGUCGUGUAAUUUUUUUCCGGCCUGUAAAA